CAGUUAAUUUCAAACUGUUACAAAGUGUUACCUUUUAAUGUUAACAGAUUGCAGACCAAUAAAGCUGAGUGACUUGACUGUCUGUUUUUAAGGCCUUGAAGAGAGAUGACUGCUUGAAUAAAAGAUUGCGUAGUUCAUAGCUGACUGUGGCUCUUAAAGGCUCUAAGUCAGCCACCCAGAUAAAAUGGAGUGAAAAUGAAAAUAUGAGUUAAUGUUUGUUUUGGAAUCCAAGACGUGUACUGCCAGUUGAUGAUCACUGCUGUAUGUAGUGUGCAAAAGACUGAGUGCCAUGUGUUGUCUUUGCAGCUCUUCGACUGUGCCUCCCUGGAUCACAUCACACUUUUAAAACUGAGAGACCGGUGAACUCUGCUGCCAUUUCUCCAAUCAUGGAUCACGUAAGAUGAAGUUGUCGCUGGGCAAUGCGUAUCCUAGAAGAUCAACAGGAUUGGAAAGUUUGAGGCCAGGUUCUUCCAAGCUGUGUACGAAGAGGUGUUUGGCAGGAGUCAAAGGUCAUUUUGGUCCCAUCAACUGUGUGGCUUUCCACCUUGACGGCAGGACGGAGAUGAAGACUUGUGAACACAGCAACUGGGACUCUGCCAGGUAGAGUAAAGGAGCAACUUUAUUUGAAGCAGAUCACUUGUUUGCAGGACUUGGUGAGUAUUUUACUGAGACCUUUUGGCCUUUGCACUUUCAUUGUUAGAUAGUUAACACUCUUUUUUGCAACAGUUAGUCCUUCUUUUUUGGCUUUUUCUGCUGCAAAAAAAAAAAAGAGUUAAGUAUCUGUCAAUGAAAGAGCAAACACCAAAACGUGAUUUUCAUUGUUAGAUACUUAACACUCACUUUUUUGCAACAGUCAUUUUUCUGUUGCAAAAAAAGUGAGUGUUAAGUAUUACAGAGUCACUUUUUGGCCUUUGCACUUUCAUUGACAGAUACUUAACAGUCACUUUUUUGCAACAGUUAGUCUUUUUUUUUUGGCUUUUUCUGCUGCAAAAAAAAGAGUUAAGUAUCUGUCAAUGAAAGAGCAAAGGCCAAAACGUGACUUUCAUUGUUAGAUAGUUAACACUCACUUUUUUGCAACAGUCAUUUUUCUGUUGCAAAAAAAGUGAGUGUUAAGUAUCUGUCAAUGAAAGAGCAAACACCAAAACGUGAUUUUCAUUGUUAGAUACUUAACACUCACUUUUUUUGCAACAGAGUCAUUUUUACGGCUUUAUCUGUUGCAAAAAAGUGAGUGCUAAGUAUCUGUCAAUGAAAGUGCAAAGGCCAAAAAAAAAAGACUUUCAUUGUUAGCUGUAUUUGACUGUUGUAAACAUUCCAGAAUAAAGAAAGUUAUUGGAA